rnacentral:lncRNA from 1 species
GGAACUAGUUUUCUAUUUCUAACCACUUCAUCCUACUUGAUGAGCAUUCCUUUUUUUAAGUACAAUUUUAUGGGUCAUUGGAGAAUGAUUCGCUGCCUCCCACCCUUAUUUUUUCCCAUUAUCAGAGACUUACUCCUUAGGAACAAAGAGUAAAUGCCAGUGUAGAUGUAGUCACAGCUUUAUGAUGGGCAGCUUCACCUUGCUACCUGGAGAGUUGCCAUCUGAUACAAUGAGUGGAUUUCAGUGCUUCCUCAAAAUAGGCAGAUUGUGUAGGCAGAUUUGGAUACAUGGAGGCUAAUCCAGUAUGUAGACAAUCCAGUAAUUGAUGGGUUUAGCACUAUCCAAAAUGUGUAAUGGGCACUUUGUGUGUGUGUGUGUGUGUGUGUGUGUGUGUGUGUGUGUGUGUGUAUGUACCUUUGGACCUUUGCCUGGGGUUUCUCCAGGGGCAGUUUAAAUGUGCUCAUCAUAUGAAUGUACCCAAGACCCACAGCAUAAACAGACGAACUGCAUCCUAGUGUCCCAGUGUAUGUGUUCUGGGGACCAGCAGACCAUCAGUCUCUUCUCAUGUGUGUGUCUGGAUUUCUCAGCUGACCGCUGUUCACAUACUCUCGAGAUGGCACUUCUGGGGUUGUCUUGCGUACACUCUUACAACAGUAACUAAUUUCACACACUUUGUACGGCCUCUACACAUCUAAGCUUCAGUCACAGCCACGUGCUUGUCCGUCACUCUCAGCCCUAAGUCAAGGGUCCUGGGUUUACAUCCUGCCUGCUUACCCACUAGAUUGUACAACCUUGGAUAAGUUCCUUUACCUCCGUGCCUCUCAGUUUCCUGGGUACGAGGUAGAAGCCAUCAUGGCUGCUUUACACGCCAGCACAGGACUGGCCCAUGAGAUGCUUCACAAGUUGUGGCUGUGACUCCCUAGACAAAGCCUUGCACGUAGAAGACGAGUACAGUUGUGUGUGCAAGGCAGGAUUCAUCUGGGUGUGGAAGAAGAGUUAGAUGUCGGCUCUUGUGAAAUUUUCUGGUGCAAACAGACUUUCCUGUCUUGGGCUUAGAUUAUAAUUUAUAAGCCAAUCUCUCUUCAGUCUUACUGAUUUUAAGGGGCACAUUAAUUUGUAUGGCUGUCUCAUGUAUAAAAUACUGUUUUGAAGUAUGGCCACACUGUGGAAUGGAUGAAUCAAGCUAACUAACAAAUGCAUUCGUUAUCAUUCUGUGAUAAUAACACGUGUGCUUUCUUGUCAGUUUUCAGGAAUGUUCCAUAUUGUCACUAACUACUCACUGUACGGCGGCUCUCAGAUGAACUGUUUAUUUAAUAGCUAUGGGUUCUUUGACCACCAUCUUCCAAUCUCUUCUGCCAUCUAGCCAUCCCAUCCGCAUUUUCUUUUCUGUGCCUAUGAAAUCUACGCUAGACUGUACAUGUGAGUGAACUACUGCAAUCGUGCCUCUCCGUGCCUGGCUGAUUUGACUUGUACAACUUCCCAUGUGACCAUCUAUGUAGUUACAAAUAGCAGGGUUUGUGCGUUUUAUGCUCUAUUGUAUUCUACUGUGUGCAUAUCCUGUACUUCCUCUAUCUAUUAUAGAGAAUUAGCUACUGAGCAUUGUGCUGCAGCAGUAAGUACAGGGAUACAAACAUACUGUAUUUAUUUCCUUUGGAAACACACCCAGCAGUGGGGUUUCAUUUUUUACUUUUUAGAGAAUUCUCAAUGGCUCCUUUUCUCUGCAGCCUCACCAACACAUACUAAGUUUCACCCUUCUAAUAACAGCAAUCCUGAUGGGUUUUUUAUAAUUUUUUGAGACAGGCUCUCACUAUGUAGCCCUGGCUAGCAUAGGUAGACUUCCUUAUGUAGACCAAGCUGGUUUCAAAUUCACAUAGAUCUAUCUGCCUGCCUCUGCUUCUGGAGUGCUGAGGUUAAGGGUCAUAGCUGCUCUCUUACUAUUUUUUACAUUUGGUCCUUAGUAAAUGUAGAACUUGCAGACAUGUUCCCACAUCUCUUUGUACUCUGUAAUUCCUUUGUAAUUCCUUAAUCCCUAAGUAGAACCUGUCUUUAUUAUGAUACAUGCCCCUUGGUCUAGUUUUGCUUUUGUUCCUUCAUACCCCAAAUGAGGCAGUAUAUCCAGUAUCCAAAACCAUCAUAGUCCAGACCAACACAAUGGAAUUCUGUGCACACUCCCAUGCAUUCUCUGUAGUUCGAGAUCCCAUGUUUGAGUCUUUCUUUCAUACACUUUGAGUGAAUAUUUGUAUCUGGUGAGAGACACAGAUCUGUUUUCAUGCUGUGAAGUCGUACAGUUUUCCCAGUAGCACUUACAGAAGUGAUUUUCUUUCUCUGCUGUGUGUUUUUAGCACCUUUGUCAGAUCAGCUGUCUGUAAAUGUAUGGGUUUAUUUCUGGGCUCUCUGUUCCAUUCUCCUGGUCUGGCUCUGUGUGAUGCCAUGACAGUGCUGCUUAUGGGCUAAUGCAGUUUAUGUUAUGUUUGUAAAGGGGGUAAGACAAUGCUUCUUGCUUUAUUUUUCUUGUAGAUUUCUUUGGUUCUUCGGGAUCUUUUGUGGUUCCAUACUGUUGAUAGAACUCUCUCCCAGGGAGAGACAUAAAGCAUUGUGUAGUCCUCCUCUCAGAGUCCUAAUGACCAACGGAAACGUGACCCACCUAAAGCUCCCUCUAGAGAGCCAUGAGUUUACAGCUUCCUUACAGAGUAUAAGUGAGAGGUCACUUACAGGGUACGGGACUCCUUCCCCAACUAGCUGUACCUGAUAACCCUUACCCAGCAGUGGUGUGGGCUUCCUGUAGCCCUAUCUAGUAUUUCUUGACUGAUACAUAAUAAGUAUAUAUACGUAUAGUCAGAGAUAUAGAGAAUAUAGAAUCUUUCUACAUAUACUAUAUAUACAUACUCUUUCUAUUUCCAUAUAUACUAUAUCUCUGAAUGAUACACACACACACACACUAACCCCUCCCCUAACCCACAUGCAGAGUCCCCAGAUGGGAGGAAGCAGUUGGAUGUAGCUGCAUACUCCAGCAAGAAUCGCCUUGCUAUGCUGGGGCAUAAACCACCAACAAGCUUAGCUGAGAUGAAAUAUUGCAGGGGAACACAGCUGAAUGCCCCAAGAUGGGGCAGUUGCUUGACAUAGAAGACAGUCACUCACAACACAUUCC